UGAAUAUCAUGGAACAAACAACGCACGUAAUAGGAUCGGUGUGGCACGAGCGCGGGUGUACUCGACGAUGAUAAUCCCGAAGCGAGAGCGCCCGUUUAAUAAUAAUUCUACUAUAGGCCGCACGCGGAUCUAUUUUCGCGGUCUAUAUGAAACAGAUAAAAAAAAAAAAAGGUUUCUUACAAAAGAAUAAUAUUACAAUAUUUUGUCCUUAUUGUGUUGCGAAAACCGUAAAAAUAUUCGUACAAUAAAAUAUUUAUGAUAUUCCAAAAUUAAGUGUACGCAGUCGUGAUCUCUCGGCCGACACAGGGUCAUAUUUAUACGUUUGGCGCUCCAGGGCACUUAUAAAAUACCACCCCAUAAGGGAAGGGGGGGUGAUAGGGGGUCCAGCGUUGACCGAAAUACGGAUUAUACAAAUAUUGAAAACCUUAUUCGUUUUUCACGUAAAUAAUUGUUUAUCAUAAUGGUACAUACAUGUAUGUAAAAAUAGAUUUGAGAGAAUACCCUAAAACUAAAUCUGGGAUAAAUUAAAUUAUAAUAUAUAAGUAAUAAAAAAGUAUACAAUUAUAAAUGGAUAAACACAUUAAGAAAAUAUAUAAACAUUUAUCGUCUACAAAGUUCCACGGGGGGAACAAUUUCUCACCCUAGACUCCCCGAAAUACGGGAUUGCUCCGUUACGUGACAUUUUGUAUAGGUGUACAGUAUUAUUUAAAUUAAAUUUUGUACAGAUCGGUCGGUAUAACGUAAUACGCUCAUUAUCUCGGAAUGUAUUGAAAUCGUUGAAAAUUUGUUUUUUUUAGAAAAUUUAAGAAACGAGUGGCUCUAGAAUUUUACAUUCCUGUUUUUUUUUUUUUUACUCUUGUUUUGGGUGGGUGGGGGUGAAGUGAAACCACUAUUCACGUUUGAUUUUCAAACAGCAAUAGUACACUUAAUAUUCCGUAAAUUAAUAAGGUUUGAGUUUGAAUAAAUUUAGAAAUUUUUGAUUUUCAACAUUCGAGGGAAACUCUUUGAACACGAUUUGUGUGGCAGCGCGGUACGGUCGUUCGAAAAGUGAGCCCCAGUUAUCUCCCAUUACGAAAAUUAAAAAUUUCAAUAGCAACACGUAUUUUAAUUAAAAACUACAUCUGUUUAUAGAUUCUGUCAAUAUAUUUGUAAAUCAAAAACUAGUAGCGUUUUAUCUCCAUUAAUGUGCCUAUAAUCGUUACGCCCAUCAUCCCGUUCGAUAUCACUUUCAUAUUUUUUUCUCACCCGUCGUAUAACAUUUUUAAAUUUGUAUUAUUAUUAUUCAUUUUUUUUAAUGUGUAAAGUUUACGUUGAAAAAAAAAAUCAGCCCUAUACGAAAAAAAAAACAAAUAACGACAAUAAAAAGUUCCCGGUAAAUUAUUUAAAAAUAAUUUCAUUAUAUACGCCGCCGUAGCGCGACAAUUAUUCAAGAGUACUUUAAAAGGUCCCGG